rnacentral:rRNA from 1 species
CGGAGGAAAAGAAACCACCAGGGAUUGCCUCAGUAACGGCGAGUGAAGCGGCAACAGCUCAAAUUUGAAAUCUGGCCCCUUCGGGGUCCGAGUUGUAAUUUGCAGAGGGUGCUUUUGGUGUUGGCCGUGGUCUAAGUUCCUUGGAACAGGACGUCACAGAGGGUGAGAAUCCCGUACGUGGCCGCCGGCCCUCGCCUUGUAAAGCCCCUUCGACGAGUCGAGUUGUUUGGGAAUGCAGCUCUAAAUGGGAGGUAAAUUUCUUCUAAAGCUAAAUACCCGCCAGAGACCGAUAGCGCACAAGUAGAGUGAUCGAAAGAUGAAAAGCACUUUGGAAAGAGAGUGAAAAAGCACGUGAAAUUGUUGAAAGGGAAGCGCUUGCGGCCAGACGUGCCCGCGGUUGUUCAUCUGGGCUCUCGCCCGGUGCACUCCUCCGCGGGCAGGCCAGCAUCAGUUUGGGCGGUCGGACAAAGGUCUCUAUCACGUACCACCCCUCGGGGUGGCCUUAUAGGGGAGACGCAACACGGCCAGCCUGGACUGAGGUUCCGCGCAUCUGCUAGGAUGCUGGCGUAAUGGCAGCAAGCGGCCCGUCUUGAAACACGGACCAAGGAGUCUAACAUCUAUGCGAGUGUUUGGGUGUCAAGCCCGAGCGCGUAAUGAAAGUGAACGGAGGUGGGAACCCCUCGGGGCGCACCAUCGACCGAUCCUGAUGUCUUCGGAUGGAUUUGAGUAAGAGCAUAGCUGUUGGGACCCGAAAGAUGGUGAACUAUGCCUGAAUAGGGUGAAGCCAGAGGAAACUCUGGUGGAGGCUCGCAGCGGUUCUGACGUGCAAAUCGAUCGUCAAAUUUGGGCAUAGGGGCG